CCUACGGGUGGCAGCAGUCGAGAAUCAUUCACAAUGGGGGAAACCCUGAUGGUGCGACGCCGCGUGGGGGAAUGAAGGUCUUCGGAUUGUAAACCCCUGUCAUGUGGGAGCAAAUUAAAAAGAUAGUACCACAAGAGGAAGAGACGGCUAACUCUGUGCCAGCAGCCGCGGUAAUACAGAGGUCUCAAGCGUUGUUCGGAAUCACUGGGCGUAAAGCGUGCGUAGGCUGUUUAGUAAGUCGUGUGUGAAAGGCGCGGGCUCAACCCGCGGACGGCACAUGAUACUGGGAGACUAGAGUAAGGGAGGGGGAACCGGAAUUCUCGGUGUAGCAGUGAAAUGCGUAGAUAUCGAGAGGAACACUCGUGGCGAAGGCGGGUUCCUGGACAUUAACUGACGCUGAGGCACGAAGGCGAGGGGAGCGAAAGGGAUUAGAUACCCUAGUAGUC
rnacentral:rRNA from 1 species